GUGUCAGCCGCCGCGGUAAUACGUAGGGGGCGAACGUUGUCCGGAUUUAUUGGGCGUAAAGAGCUCGUAGGCGGCUCAGCAAGUCGGCCGUGAAAGUCCGGGGCUCAACCCCGGGAUGCCGGUCGAUACUGCUGUGGCUAGGGUCCGGUAGAGGAGAGUGGAAUUCCCGGUGUAGCGGUGAAAUGCGCAGAUAUCGGGAGGAACACCAGUAGCGAAGGCGGCUCUCUGGGCCGGUACCGACGCUGAGGAGCGAAAGCUAGGGGAGCGAACAGGAUUAGAAACCCCUGUAGUCC
rnacentral:rRNA from 1 species